ACGUAGGUGGCAAGCGUUGUCCGGAAUUAUUGGGCGUAAAGCGCGCGCAGGCGGUCCUUUAAGUCUGAUGUGAAAGCCCACGGCUCAACCGUGGAGGGUCAUUGGAAACUGGGGGGACUUGAGUGCAGAAGAGGAAAGUGGAAUUCCACGUGUAGCGGUGAAAUGCGUAGAUAUCGGGAGGAACACCUGUGGCGAAAGCGGCUCACUGGACCACAA
rnacentral:rRNA from 1 species